GUGUUUCCUCCUUUUAUUCCUGAUAACUCAUCUGUCCUUUCAGUGAAGUGUAUUUUAAGCAUACUUUGCUCCAGUGAUGAGUAUCCUGCCAAAUCUCCAGUUAUUCCAAGUGAAAUUUCCUGUUAAUAACCCACCUCCGCUUUGGUAGCAAGAAGGUAAUGAACCUGGGGCAAAGGAGUACAAUUCGCGAAUACGGUAUUAGAGCAAGAAGCAACUGACAAACACAGUGGCCGGCCAUCAUCUUUUGAGUUGAGAGCACUUCUAGAAUUAGCCUUUCCAUCAUUUCUUUGAGGCAAGUUUGUAGAAGAAAUCUACCAUAAAGGAGGGGUAGUAAAAGAUGCCUUUAUACAGAUAACAUGCCUUAGCCUAAGGGAUAGGAGUCGUGGCUUCUAGUCUAUCAGUGACCUUCCUGACAAGGAAAUCAUACUUUCUCACUGGCCAAGAUUGGGUGUAGAAAUCAGUGUCACACCAUGCUCUUCACUACCUACUCAGGCAAGGCACAAAAUACCGGGGGGUACUGGGAAAUUGUGCUGUUAAUUGAAAUAUCUAGAUUAUGUUGUUUCUGAGCUCUGUACCUAUCCCCUGCAGACCCUGAGUAGACUGCUUCAAAUUUGUGUGAUCUUCCAGCUAAGGCAGACAGUCCGUGGGAAGUGUCACGAGGUGGAGGGAAGUAUGGCAGGGCCUUCCACAGGACAGAGCAGCCUUCUGUCAGGACAGGCGUGUGUAGAAAUGUGGAAAUGAGGCAGGGCUGCCUUCACAGAAACCUGUGUCCUGGUCUCCGACGCUAACUGUGCCAGGCAGAGUCCAAUCGAGUCAUACUGGGGCUGGCGUUGUAACUGGUAGAGCAUCUGCCUAGCACAGGUGAGGCCCUGAGUCCCAUCCUGUCACCACCCCCUCCAGCGAAACCCUCAGACCCUUUUUUUUUGGUUCAUGAGGCAAAGAUGCAAACAGCAUUGUUUUGGGGCGGUCAAACCACCCUACCGAACAGUUUCGCAUGACCUGUGUGGCCUGGCAGAGCCUAUGUCCUUGUGUUUAAAUGCUGCUUCCUCCAUUUCCACCUUGACCUUCUGAGGACUCCUUUGGCUUGCUGAAGUUUCAGAUUCUUGUUGGAGGCAGCCUGGAAGCUGG
rnacentral:lncRNA from 1 species